rnacentral:rRNA from 1 species
UACGUAGGGUGCAAGCGUUGCCCGGAUUUAUUGGGCGUAAAGGGCGCGUAGGCGGCCUCCGCAAGUCAGUUGUGAAAUCUCCGAGCUUAACUCGGAAAGGUCAACUGAUACUGCGGGGCUAGAGUGCGGAAGGGGCAACUGGAAUUCUUGGUGUAGCGGUGAAAUGCGUAGAUAUCAAGAGGAACACCUGCGGCGAAGGCGGGUUGCUGGGCCGACACUGACGCUGAGGCGCGAAAGCUAGGGGAGCGAACGGG